rnacentral:rRNA from 2 species
GGCGAACUGGUGAGUAACACGUGGGAAACCUGCCCAGAAGCGGGGGAUAACACCUGGAAACAGAUGCUAAUACCGCAUAACAACUUGGACCGCAUGGUCCGAGCUUGAAAGAUGGCUUCGGCUAUCACUUUUGGAUGGUCCCGCGGCGUAUUAGCUAGAUGGUGGGGUAACGGCUCACCAUGGCAAUGAUACGUAGCCGACCUGAGAGGGUAAUCGGCCACAUUGGGACUGAGACACGGCCCAAACUCCUACGGGAGGCAGCAGUAGGGAAUCUUCCACAAUGGACGAAAGUCUGAUGGAGCAACGCCGCGUGAGUGAAGAAGGGUUUCGGCUCGUAAAACUCUGUUGUUAAAGAAGAACAUAUCUGAGAGUAACUGUUCAGGUAUUGACGGUAUUUAACCAGAAAGCCACGGCUAACUACGUGCCAGCAGCCGCGGUAAUACGUAGGUGGCAAGCGUUGUCCGGAUUUAUUGGGCGUAAAGCGAGCGCAGGCGGUUUUUUAAGUCUGAUGUGAAAGCCUUCGGCUCAACCGAAGAAGUGCAUCGGAAACUGGGAAACUUGAGUGCAGAAGAGGACAGUGGAACUCCAUGUGUAGCGGUGAAAUGCGUAGAUAUAUGGAAGAACACCAGUGGCGAAGGCGGCUGUCUGGUCUGUAACUGACGCU